GUAGGAGCCAAGCGUUAUCCGAAUUUACUGGGCGUAAAGCGCGUGCAGGCGGCUCGAUAAGUUGGCUGUGAAAUCGCCCGGCUCAACUGGGCGAGGCCGGUCAAGACUGUCGGGCUGGAGGGCAGUAGAGGGAGGUGGAAUUCCCGGUGUAGUGGUGAAAUGCGUAGAGAUCGGGAGGAACACCAGUGGCGAAAGCGGCCUCCUGGACUGUACCUGACGCUCAGACGCGAAAGCUAGGGGAGCGAACGGGAUUAGAAACCCCGGUAGUCCUAGCCGUAAACGAUGUCGACUUGGCGUCGGUGGGGUAAAAGCCAUCGGUGCCGGAGCAAACGCGGUAAGUCGACCGCCUGGGGACUACGGCCGCAAGGUUAAA
rnacentral:rRNA from 1 species